rnacentral:rRNA from 1 species
CUACGGGGGGCAGCAGUGAGGAAUAUUGCACAAUGGGGGGAACCCUGAUGCAGCAACGCCGCGUGGAGGAUGACGCAUUUCGGUGUGUAAACUCCUUUUAUAUGUCAAGAAAAUGACGGUAGCAUAUGAAUAAGCACCGGCUAACUCCGUGCCAGCAGCGCGCGGUAAUACGGAGGGUGCAGGCGUUACUCGGAAUCACUGGGCGUAAAGGACGCGUAGGCGGGUUGGAAAGUCAGGUGUGAAAUCCUACAGCUUAACUGUACAACUGCACUUGAAACUUCUAAUCUAGAGUAUGGGAGGGGGAGAUGGAAUUAGUGGUGUAGGGGUAAAAUCCGUAGAUAUCACUAGGAAUACCUAAAGCGAAGGCGAUCUCCUGGAACAUUACUGACGCUAAGGCGUGAAAGCGUGGGGAGCAAACAGGAUUAGAUACCCCCGUAGUC